UGCUGCAGAGAAGAUCCAGAAGACAGAAGCACAGGGUGUACAGGGCAGUGCUGUGCUGCCGUGGCACCCAGCUCACAGCUCGGAGAGGACUUGGCUGGAGGCAGCUCCGUCCAUCCAGAUGACAAGGAAGGCAUCAGGUCACGCCUGUGCAGUACCUGCUUCAGACAAAUCCAGGCCAUUGCCCUCUUGGAAAUCCCACUGGACCUACAGAAACUGUGGCAGGACCCAAAGUGACCAGGUGGCCCAGCCCCGAUGGGCUGUGCCAGGGUUUCCUGAUGUUCCUGCUCCGUUCUGAUGAAACAUUAUACAGAAAGAUAUAGGCAAAGCAUUAUGCUCACAGCCUUUGCCAACAAGUUAUGUUUUAAUGUAAUUUAACUGUAAUCUCAGAGUGUUUUUGUUAGCUAUAAUUAGUAAAAUAUGUCUGUUUUCUGUGUUCCUUGAAGAUGUCUGAACUCCUGCCAGUUCCCUAUAGUUUUCCUGACAUGCAGUGUAACAAGCAGACCACCAAAAUGUAUUUACCAAUAACUGUUUAUUUACAUUCCAUGAAAUCUAAUAACAUUUGCUGUCUUCAUUCGGGAUAAAUGCUCGCCAAAGUGUAAAGCAUAAAAAAAUAAACACUGCCUUACUUUCUAA